UACGUAGGUGGCAAGCGUUGUUCGGAAUUAUUGGGCGUAAAGGGCGCGUAGGCGGUUUGUUAAGUCGGUCGUGAAAGCCCGGGGCUCAACCCCGGAGGGUCGACCGAUACUGGCAGACUAGAGUACAGAAGAGGUAACUGGAAUUCCCGGUGUAGCGGUGAAAUGCGCAGAUAUCAGGAGGAACACCGAUGGCGAAGGCAGUGAUCUGGGCCAGUACUGACGCUGAGGAGCGAAAGCGUGGGUAGCAAACAGG
rnacentral:rRNA from 1 species